rnacentral:rRNA from 1 species
GCAAGUCGAACGCCCCGCAAGGGGAGUGGCGGACGGGUGAGUAACGCGUGGGAAUUUUCCUCAAGGUACGGAACAACUCAGGGAAACUUGGGCUAAUACCGUAUGAUGCAGCGAUGCCAAAGAUUUAUCGCCUUGGGAUAAGCCCGCGUCAGAUUAGGUAGUUGGUGGGGUAACGGCCUACCAAGCCUGCGAUCUGUAGCUGGUCUGAGAGGACGAUCAGCCACAUUGGGACUGAGACACGGCCCAAACUCCUACGGGAGGCAGCAGUGGGGAAUCUUGCGCAAUGGGCGAAAGCCUGACGCAGCCAUGCCGCGUGAAUGAUGAAGGUCUUAGGAUUGUAAAGUUCUUUAGCCUGUGACGAUGAUGACGGUAACAGGAGAAUAAGCCCCGGCUAACUUCGUGCCAGCAGCCGCGGUAAUACGAAGGGGGCUAGCGUUGUUCGGAAUUACUGGGCGUAAAGCGCGCGUAGGCGGUUUUACAAGCCAGAGGUGAAAUGCCUGAGCUUAACUUGGGAAUUGCCUUUGGAACUGUAUGACUUCGAGGACGAGAGAGGUGAGUGGAAUUCCCAGUGUAGAGGUGAAAUUCGUAGAUAUUGGGAAGAACACCGGUGGCGAAGGCGGCUCACUGGCUCGUUUCUGACGCUGCAGCGCGAAAGCGUGGGGAUCAAACAGGAUUAGAUACCCUGGUAGUCCACGCUGUA